rnacentral:rRNA from 1 species
CAACCUGGGAACUGCAUCUGAUACUGGCAAGCUUGAGUCUCGUAGAGGGGGGUAGAAUUCCAGGUGUAGCGGUGAAAUGCGUAGAGAUCUGGAGGAAUACCGGUGGCGAAGGCGGCCCCCUGGACGAAGACUGACGCUCAGGUGCGAAAGCGUGGGGAGCAAACAGGAUUAGAUACCCUGGUAGUCCACGCCGUAAACGAUGUCGACUUGGAGGUUGUGCCCUUGAGGCGUGGCUUCCGGAGCUAACGCGUUAAGUCGACCGCCUGGGGAGUACGGCCGCAAGGUUAAAACUCAAAUGAAUUGACGGGGGCCCGCACAAGCGGUGGAGCAUGUGGUUUAAUUCGAUGCAACGCGAAGAACC